UUCUUAACGAAGUACUCCCUGGAGAAUCACGUGAGGAUGUGGGAGGAGGAGUGCAGGGAAUGGGAGAAGUCCAGCCAGGUUGGGGCUUUAGGUGCCGUCACAGCAACAACCUCGGAAACAGUAGAAUAUAAAUUACACCUCUGGAAUUUGUUCAUCCUGAAGGCAAGGCAAAUUAUAUUCUUUAUCCUAAACUGAUUUUUUAUUCAUGUCAGAGAAAAUUCCCCACCCCCAU
rnacentral:lncRNA from 1 species